rnacentral:rRNA from 1 species
UACAGAGGUCCCAAGCGUUGUUCGGAUUCAUUGGGCGUAAAGGGUGCGUAGGCGGCGCGGUAAGUCGGGUGUGAAAUCUCGGAGCUUAACUCCGAAACUGCAUUCGAUACUGCCGUGCUUGAGGACUGGAGAGGAGACUGGAAUUUACGGUGUAGCGGUGAAAUGCGUAGAUAUCGUAAGGAAGACCAGUGGCGAAGGCGGGUCUCUGGACAGUUCCUGACGCUGAGGCGCGAAAGCCAGGGGAGCAAACGGG